UACGUAGGGGUCCGAGCGUUUGUCCGGAGUUACUGGGCGUAAAGCGCGCGCAGGCGGCGGUAUAAGCAUGGCGUGAAAGCCCCAGGCUCAACCUGGGAGGGUCGUCGUGGACUGUACCGCUUGAGGGCGGUAGGGGCUGGUGGAAUGCCUGGUGUAGUGGUGAAAUGCGUAGAGAUCAGGCGGAACACCCGUGGCGAAGGCGGCCAGCUGGGCCGUCCCUGACGCUGAGGCGCGAAGGCGUGGGGAGCGAACGGG
rnacentral:rRNA from 1 species